rnacentral:rRNA from 1 species
UCAAGCGAACAAGGGCGCAGGGCGAAUGCCUUGGCACUGGGAGCCGAUGAAAGACGUGAUAAGCUGCGAUAAGCUUCGGGGAGCUGCAAAUAAGCAUUGAUCCGGAGAUUUCUGAAUGAGGAAACUCACCUGGGUUCAUACUCAGGUACGUUAUACUGAACUUAAAAAUAGGUAUAUCGAGGGAACCGCCUGAACUGAAACAUCUAAGUAGGGCGAGGAAGAGACAUCAAACGAGAUUCCGUAAGUAGUGGCGAGCGAACGCGGAAGAGGGCAAACCGUGAGUAGAAAUACUUGCGGGGUACGGACUGCUUUUAGGACUUAAUCUGUUAACCGAACGGCAUGGGAAGGCCGGUCAGAGAGUGUGAGAACCACGUAGGUGAAAACGACAAGAGCUGAGCAAGUUCCAGAGUACGGCCAGACACGUGAAACCUGGUCGGAAGAUGGGGGGACCACCCUCCAACCCUAAAUACUACCCAGUGACCGAUAGCGUAUAGUACUGUGAAGGAAAGGUGAAAAGCACCCCGGGAGGGGAGUGAAAAAGAACCUGAAACCCUGUGCCUACAAGCACCUAGAGCACGUCAAUGUGUGAUAGGGUACUUUUUGUAGAACGGUCCGGCGAGCGAUUGUAUGCAGCAAGGUUAAGGACUUAAGGUCUGGAGCCGAAGCGAAAGCGAGUUUGAAAAGGGCGUUAAGUUGCAUACAAUGGGCCCGAAACCGGGUGACCUACCCAUGGUCAGGUUGAAGUGGAAGUAAAAUUCCAUGGAGGACCGAACCGACCUCCGUUGAAAAGGCGGCGGAUGAACUGUGGGUAGCGGAGAAAUUCCAAUCGAACCCGGAGAUAGCUGGUUCUCCCCGAAAUAGUUUUAGGACUAGCCUCAAGUUAGAUACCUGGAGGUAAAGCACUGAAUAGCCUAGCGGCCGAGAGGUUAGCGAAGCUUAUCAAACUCAGAAUGCCAGAGUAUUGAUGCUUGGGAGUCAGACAGUGUCAGAUAAAUGUCAUUGUCAAAAGGGAAACAGCCCAGAUCUACAGCUAAGGUCCCAAAGUCAGGUUAAGUGGAAAACGAUGUGAAGAUACGCAGACAACCAGGAUGUUGGCUCAGAAGCAGCCACUCAUUCAAAGAGUGCGUAAUAGCUCACUGGUCGAGCGUCUUUGCGCGGAGAAUUUAACGGGGCUAAACCUGACACCGAAGCUUAGGCAAUACAGCAAUGUAUUGGGUAGGGGAGCGUUGUAUACGCGGUGAAACAGUAGCGCAAGCGGCUGUGGAGUGUAUAGAAGUGAGAAUGCCGGAAUGAGUAGCGCGAAUGCAGUGAGAAUCUGCAUGGCCGAAAGCCUCAGGUUUCUGGAGGAAGGUUCGUCCGCUCCAGGUUAGUCGGGAGCUAAGGUGAGGCCUAACGGCGUAGCCGAUGCACAGACGGUAGAGAUUCCGUCACCACCAAAAGAGUUAAGCACAGGGACACAUUUGAAGUCUCGGAGCCGGGUGUUGGUUCCGGUAGCGAUCGAGGGAAGUUAGUACCGAAGUCCGGGAUGGAAGAUGGCGAGAAAAGCUGUGUGUAUUUCUGCGGUGCCCGUACCGCAAACCGACACAGGUAGGUAGGAAGAAGAUUCUAAGGCCAACGGGAGAAGGGUUGUUAAGGAACUCGGCAAAUUGACCCCGUAACUUCGGGAGAAGGGGUGCUCCAGAGAUGGAGCCGCAGAGAAUCGGCCCAAGCAACUGUUUACCAAAAACACAGGUUUGUGCUAAAUCGAAAGAUGACGUAUACGAGCUGACGCCUGCCCGGUGCUGGAAGGUUAAGAGGAGAUGUGCAAGCAUUGAAUCGAAGCCCCAGUGAACGGCGGCCGUAACUAUAACGGUCCUAAGGUAGCGAAAUUCCUUGUCAGGUAAGUUCUGACCCGCAUGAAAGGCGUAAUGAUUUGGGCACUGUCUCAACAGCCCGCCCGGCGAAAUUGUAGUACCGGUGAAGAUGCCGGUUACCCGCGACAAGACGGAAAGACCCCAUGGAGCUUUACUGUAGCCUAAUAUUGGGUUUCGAUGUUGCAUGCACAGGAUAGAUGGGACACAGGGAAACAAGUGCUUUGGCAUUUGUGGAGUGGCCGUUGGGAUACCAUCCUUGCGAUAUUGGAAUUCUAACCUGCGCCUUUGAAUCAAGGCGGGGGACAUUGUUAGGUGGGCAGUUUGACUGGGGCGGUCGCCUCCUAAAGAGUAACGGAGGCGUUCAAAGGUUCGCUCAGCUUGAACGGAAAUCAAGCAAAAGAGUGCAAACGCAGAAGCGAGCCUAACUGCGAGACUGACGGGUCGAGCAGUAACGAAAGUUGGAGUUAGUGAUCCGGUGGUAUGUGAGUGG